UCAAGGAGGAGGGAGUUUUCAGCCAUGUUAUAAAGGAGAGGUCUGAUGAGGGAGCUGCAUCUGAUACUGCAGAGAGAGAAAGGAUUCCUGUGAGACAGUCCAAAUUAAGCCAUCACUGAACAUCCACAAACAACUCUUAUAUAAACCAAUGGGCUUUGAAGACACAGCAGAUUCUUCCAGGAUUCCAGGAGGGGGGGGAAAAAGAAAAUCGGAGAAAACUACCUCACCCCCCGUGACUACCUGACCACCUGCAGUAAACUGUCCUAAGGCUGCUGCCAUUGCCAGCACUGCACAGCUGCCACCACCAGGGAUGCUGAUAAGGGGUUCCAUGAUGCCACUGCCAGGACUGCUGUCUCCCCCACUGGACUGCCAGCCCUGCUGCCUCUUGGAUUGCCACAUCAGCCAGCACUGGUGGCUGUACCUUGUUCAAAAAACCUGGGAUGAUAAGCAGUGACUGGACAGCUUCUGCAUGACACAGGCCACCUUCUGGGACCUGUUCCAGACUUUCCAGCCCCACCUUGAGCAGCAGGACACCAGCAUGCACCCAGUACUCCCUGAAGACGCCCAGUUGGACCUCACGCUGCUGAAGCUGGCCACAUCUGCCAGCCUCUGGUAUGUUGGACGCUUGUUUGGGGUGGGCAAGGCUACCACCAGGGAGGCUGUCUUGGAGAUGUGCAGGGCCCCCCAGGAUACCAUGCUUUGCCUCCAUGACCCUGUAGUGGUGGUGGCAGGGUUCCAUGCACUGAGAUUCCCCCAGUGCAUUGGGUCCCUGUAUGGGGCUUACAGACCUGUCAUCUACCCAUCCCAUGGAGACUGGCCCUAUUACAGCUGCAGGGGAUUUCACUCCAUGGUCCUGCAGGACAUUGUGGACCAUUAUGGCACAUUUGUGCACAUAAGUGCUGGCUGGGCAGGCAGUACACAUAUGCCUGCAUGUCUCGGAACUCUGGCCUUGUGGGACUAGUAGAGAGUGGGCACUUCAUGCCAGGGGUACCAGACCUGCAGCUGGGCACUGUCAUGGUCCCACCCCUGCUCAUCAGGGACCCUGCUUACCCAUUCCUGCCCUGGCUGAUGCAGUCCUACACUGGUCACCUGGACCCCCACUAGGCCCACUUUAAUUACUCCCUAGGCCAGACCCACACCCUGGUCAAGUGCACCUUCAGCCACCUCAAGGACUCCUAGUGCUCCCUCACUGCCUCCCUCAAGGUUGUUGAGGAGAACCUUCCAUGGGUCAUCAUCACAUCCUGUAUGCUGCAUAACAUCUGUGAGGACCAGAGGAGCUGUUUUGCAAGGCCUGGGAGGAGGAGGUGUGGCACAUGGAGGCUGCCUGGAAUUGGGAGCACAACCUGUGGUGGCAGCAGCAGUAGUGGGUCCCCCUGCUGAGGCACCAGCAGAGCCACACACCCACCAUUGGGGCCAGGGCACUGGGUGGGGGAGGCUUUAGCUGACUAUCUCCUCCAGUGUUCCCUGCUCAAGCCCAACUACCCCACCACCCACAGACCCCCUACACCCUGCCUUCUCCCAGCAUCAUUCUCAUAGCUGACACAUAUAUCUGAAGAAGUUUUUAUUCCCCUCACAUCAUGCCCCUCAACCAUCUGUCUCGCCCACCAAUAAUAAAACACCUUCUUUCCUAAGAAAACUAUUUAC